rnacentral:rRNA from 1 species
UCCUACGGGGGGCAGCAGUGAGGAAUAUUGGUCAAUGGGCGCGAGCCUGAACCAGCCAAGUCGCGUGAGGGAAGACGGUCCUAUGGAUUGUAAACCUCUUUUGUCGGGGAGCAAAAGACGCCACGUGUGUCGUUCCGAGAGUACCCGAAGAAAACGCAUCGGCUAACUCCGUGCCAGCAGCCGCGGUAAUACGGAGGAUGCGAGCGUUAUCCGGAUUUAUUGGGUUUAAAGGGUGCGCAGGCGGAAGAUCAAGUCCGCGGUAAAAU